rnacentral:misc_RNA from 1 species
GAUGAAGAACGUAGUGAAAUGCGAUACGUAAUGUGAAUUGCAGAAUUCAGUGAAUCAUCGAGUCUUUGAACGCACAUUGCGCCCCCUGGUAUUCCGGGGGGCAUGCCUGUCCGAGCGUCAUUGCUGCCCUUAAGCACGGCUUGUGUGUUGGGCCUCCGCCCCCCGGCUCCCGGGGGGCGGGCCCGAAAGGCAGCGGCGGCACCGCGUCCGGUCCUCGAGCGUAUGGGGCUUCGUCACCCGCUCCGUAGGCCCGGCCGGCGCCCGCCGGCGACCCCCCUCAAUCUUUCCAGGUUGACCUCGGAUCAGGUAGGGAUACCCGCUGAACUUAAGCAUAUCAAUAAGCGGAGGA